AAGGCAGUGCCUACAUCAAAUAAACCAGCAUAUUAAUCAGUAUUAUCACAGUUAAUAUUCCAAUUAUAGUCAAACAACAUAUUGAUGCGAACCUUGCUCUUGUAAGAGCAACAUUUGUUCUUUGUUCAUCAGCAAGAAAUCCAACAAUGCCUUUCACAUUAGACCUAACUGUUGAUAGUAUGAUAAUAUCAUCUUCUUCUCCUUGGAAACCAUCAACAGACUUUACGCGCACAUGAAAGCCAUCACACGUGUCAUACAAUUUGCCAAGUCUGCUUUCUAUUGAAUCAACUUGAGAACUGUACGGAGAGAUCACACCAAUGCUGAGCAUUUGUCCUUUCCUUUUCCAAGCUUUAAAAAUUGUUUGGAUCAGGUGCAAAACAACAGCAACUUCAACCAGGUUUCGCCAACUGUUUCCAGUGCCCUCUUUUUCUUCCCUUCCAUCACUGAUGUUUAUAAAAGCAUAGGUACCAAAAGGGAGGUUUGUGUAAUCUUUGUUAUAGACAGAGGACAUGACAUUUGGACCAUCUAAAAUCUUCCUCCCAUAAAAUUGAACAUUAGGAAACAAGCUGAUACGAGGAUCCAUGCGAUAUUGUAUAUUCAGCAAAUGUUUUUCAAAAUCCAGUACAACCAAUCUCUCAAAAAGACUAAUUCCAAAUCCAGCUUCUGGCUUUUAACCAUUGGUCUCAGCUGGCAGUCAUCUCCUACUAAAACAACAUGUUUCAGCCAAUGCAGACGUAGUGGAAUAAUCAAUUCACAUUCCCUCACUUGAGCCGCCUCAUCCACAAUUAACACAUCAAGCGGUGCAAUUUCCAUGUGAUGCAAUCGAUACGAGCUAGAGGAGUUCAUUAUGCAUUUCUUUAAAGCUGUGGCUGUCACAUCAAAUUGUGUCUUUAUAAAGUCCAGGAAACAAAUAGGAUCGCUUCUUCCAUCAUCCUCAAGAAGCAUAUCAUACUGAGAACCACAAUCCUCAAAAAAGGAAGCCAUAGAAGCUAUUCUGUAUCUCCACCCAGACAACGAUGAAAAGCAUUCAACAAGUUCAUCAGCACGACAAUCUAAGAAAACAUCUUGAAGGUCCUCAGUGAUGUCCAUAUUAUACUUGUUUCCAAAUAACAAGACAUCACCAAGAGAAAAGGGUAGAAAGUUUUCAUUGGCAUUCUUGUUGAAAUCCCUCAAAAUAUGAAGGAACCGAGUACAAACUCCAACAAUAGCAACAUUUGUGGGUGCACAUGUAAGAGUUCUGCAUUUCAAACAUGCCAAAGCCCAAAGCAAAGCACUAACUGUCUUGGUCUUUCCAGUACCUGGUGGACCCCAUAUAAGUUUCAUGAGAUUCAAAUGCCUACACUGCACUGCUGAGAUAACAGACUCAAUAGCAUCCACUUGCGAUUGAUUAAGAUUAAUUGACAGUAAUUGCUCAGUACAUAAAGCCAAACAGUGCUCAUCCUGUUUAACACAGAUAUCACAAACGUCAUCACCCUAAUAUGUGGGGGCAAAGAGUGACUUGAUUACUGUGAAAUUGUUGUUCAUGCCCAUGUCAAAGCAAAUUGCUUUCCAUAUCCGUAAGUUUGUCAUAAUAUUAUUAAGAAAUAUCGCAUGUCUAAGUCUGUUGAAGCCUUCUUGUAGAGUUACAUCCUUUGCAACUUUCACUCGGAAACCCUUCUGGAAUUCAUCAUCCAUAGAAACUUCAGUAACCAUAGCCAGGCAGUAUGUCACACCAUAGCGGUUCAAGUCAUCUGCAGAUUCAGGUUUCAUACUAGACAAUAUAAAUAUAUCUCCAUUCCUAGCAGUAUAAGCCUCGGAAGAAAAACCAGCCCCGUUAUCCCAGAAGUCCACAUCCAUAAAAUACAAUCCUGAUUUUCCUGCUUCUUCCAUAGACAGUAUCUUAGAAAUGGGUGCUUCUGAUAUGAGCUCAAGACAUGAGCACAGAUCGGAUCUUGUUUCCUCAAUCAGAGGUGCAGCAUAUGUUUUGAAAUAGUGAUCAAGGGACAUGAAACUGCGAGGAAUUUCCUCAACCUACCCUCUGUAGAGGUCGUCGUCCAUGACCUCACCGAGCGACCAGGAGAGCACGAUGUCGCCCAAAUCCCUCUCCCCCAUGUUGCCGCCGCGGCA
rnacentral:sRNA from 1 species